UUUGUUGUAUGUUAACAAUAAGGAGCACACCGGCGGCGGCGGCAAGUUCGCGUUAAAUAUAUAAUAUAUGCUUAUUGUUAUAUUUAUGUGUGUACAUGAAUUUAGAUACAUACAUAUACGCAGCAGAAUGUGCGCUCAUAUAGAGCGAAUUGUGAAUUGUGUGUUGAAAGAAAAAUGACGAAAAUGAACUAUAAAUCCGUAUUGCGUUAAAAUUCUGGGAAACUGUGUGGGACCGCAGCGAACUGUACCCCAGGCAGUUGCAAGCGAAUGAGCUGAUGGGAAUGUGUUUGGGAAAUUUGCAUUUAUCUGUUGGCGUGCAAGUUUCGAAUUGAAAAUAUAAGUGAAACCUGUGGAAAUUUAGUUCAAAUAUCGUGAAAAAUGCCGGCCAAAAAACAAAAAAAUAAAAAGAAGCAUCAGCAACAUCAACAACAGCUGCAGCAGCAACAACAACAACAAUCUACCACAAACAGUUCUCAAUCAAGCAUGGAAAGUAACAACAUCAACGAGCCAGGUGGUGAUUCAUCACCUAAGCAGCUUCCCUAUAGAAUUGAAAAGUCUUCAGUAUUGGGACGCUACUUGGUGGCAAAUCGCGACUUGAAAGCCGGUGAACUGCUUACAAUAGAAGAACCACUGGCCAUUGGUCCAUGUGUAUCAGCAGAUGCUGUCUGUUUGGGUUGUUAUAUGCCAGUGGAGUUGAAGGAAACACAAUUUUGUUGUGAAGCCUGCAAAUGGCCAAUGUGUGGCCCACAGUGUGGUGGUCUCCAUCAGCCCACCGGCCACACAGUGCAGGAAUGUGAGCUUUUGCGUGAACACAAACUUGGGGCUGCACUUACCGCCGCUUGUGGGAAAGCCGAUUUGGUGAAGAACUACUAUGAGCUCAUACUGAUUGUGCGCAUUUUGCUCCUGAAGCACCAUGCUCCAGACAAGUAUGCCUACAUACUGCAAAUGGAAUCUCACACUGAGCUACGCAAGGCCAACACGGAGCUGUGGCAACACUAUGAGCAGAAUGUAGUGCAGCGGCUGCAACGCGAUUGGGGAUUAGACACAGUUAGUGCCGAGGACAUACAUGCCAUUUGUGGUAUUGUGGAUGUGAAUUGCUUCGAAAUUGGACAGAAUUUGGCAAAAGCGCGUUGUCUGUAUAAGAGCGCCUUUUUGUUGGCGCAUGACUGUUGCCCCAAUACGGCACACACCGAUGAUCCACAAAGCUAUGCCAUAAUUUUACGUACUUCACGGUCGAUAAGCAAGGAUGAGGGUAUCACUUUGAGUUACGCCUACACGUUGCAGGGCACCCUAAAACGCCGUGAUUUCAUGCAUGCGGGAAAAUUAUUUUGGUGUUGCUGCGAUCGUUGUUCAGAUCCGAAGGAGUUGGGUACGGACUGCAGUGCUUUGGUCUGUCCGAAAUGCAAAACUGGCUCAGUACGCUCCACGGCACCAUUGAACCAGGAAGCUGAAUGGAGAUGUGAUCGCUGUGACUACACUUUGCAGUAUAAGGAAAUUUUGAAAUUAUUGGAUGCUAUAAAUUAUAAUUUAGAAACAAUAGACGCACAUAAUAUACCAGGACUAGAAGGAUUCCUUAAAAAAUACGAACGUGUUCUGGGACCCAAUCACUAUCUGAUACUCUCGGCCAAGUACUCACUCUGCCAAAUCUAUGGACGCAUUGAAGGCUACUUACUGCAUACAAUGUCAAUAGAAAAUGUUGAGAAAAAGGAGCAAUAUUGUCGGGACUUCUUAAGAAUCAUCAAUGUGCUGGAACCAGGCCUCACCAGGUUAAGAGGCCUAAUUUUAUAUGAGCUGCAUGGCGCGAUAAUGAUGCGAUCGCAGCGUUUAAUGAUGACAGGUGGCAUAAGUGAAUCGAACUUUAAACGUAACAUCAAAGAGGUGAUCAGGUGCUUGCAGGAGAGCAAAGAUAUUCUGUUGCUGGAGCCAGAGGGCACAAGUGAACAUGAGAUGGGUGUGGCGGCAGCGGGCGCAUUGGUAGAAAUGGGCGUGAAAUGAGAAAGGAAUAGAACUCAUUAGAGCGACAUACAUUUACGUGUGGCUUAUUAAAGUCCCUUUUUAAAAUAGAGAGACUAGAGCGAAAAGUACUUGGUUUCGGCUGGAAUAUCGUAUCAUCAGAAAUCAUAGCAUCAAUAUGCUCCCGUGAGCACGCACACAUACAUUUAGUAAAAAUCAUUACCACACAGUUUCAUAUAUUCAAUUAUUGAGCUCAUGUCAACAACAAAAUCACAAUGGUUUGCAUGCCAAUACAUAAAGACACUCACACACAUACAUGCUUGCGUCACAUUUAUUAGGCGAUCUUCACACAUGAUCGUAUACAUGCAUACAACUGUAUUUUACGAAAUCUCAUUAAAAAUAAAGUCACUCUUAUUAUUUUAUUUUUGGUUUCUAUUAUACAUUAUUGCAUCAUUUCUAAUUUGGUAAGUAAAGCUUACUGAGCAAAAUAAGCAAAUGACUUUUGUCCCAUUCCUCUCAUCUGGUUUGAUCUACCUCACCCAUUUUUUAUAUACAUAUACAUAAAUACGCUGCAUGUUGUGCAUUGCAUGAGUCAUUUAUUUCUCAUUCGAAAAUUUUGAAUAUUCCUUAGUCAUUAAUUAUAAUUAAAUGACGAAACCAAUCAUCGAAAACAUGCAUUAUUCAUGAAAAAACAUUCAUAUUUAUAUGGUCUUUAAUUCAUCAUUGAAACAAUUCAUUCAUUCCAUAUUCAUUUGGGAUUAUUAUUUUGAAUAUUUAUUCCUGCAUGUUUUAUCGUUUUACUUUUACUUUAGUUUUGGUAAUUUUAGUUACGGGCAAAUCAGUGAACACUUAUAAUUUAUAUUUUUAGUUUUUCAUGUAUAAUUAGUUAGUCACUAUUCAUUGCAUGUCUGCAUAAUUUAUACAUAUAUAUACAUAAAAUAUUUUUUUAUUUCUCAUUAACGCAUCUCCUGCCAAAUUUCAUUAUCUAUUCUUAUUUUUCAUUACCAAAAUUUUUUCAUAUUCUUGGCCAUCACUCCACACGUACCAUUUAGCACUCCAAAUUCCUUUUCAACAUUACGAAUUCAUCAAUUCAUAACUUGGGUAUCAAUCUUAAUUUGCAAUACGUUCAUUAUAUUUCAGUGCAUGUCAGUCACCUCUCAAAAUUGGCAGUGAUAUAUGAAUCAAAUUUUGAUCGUAACCAUUCAUAAAAAAAAAAUCAUCUUUUAUUAUUUCAUUUUAUUAGCUCAACCAAAUUAUUAUAAUUUAAAUUAAAUCAGAUAUGAAAUAUCUUUCCUUUUUCCAUAAUUUCCAUCAAUCAUUAUACAUUAUCUUGCAUGUUCGGCGAUCUUCUGUAGGAUGAUCAGCUGCUAUUAUAUAGUUCUAUGUGGCACAUCAUUCACCAUACAGCAUGAGCCAUACAUAUAUAUCACCAAUCAAUAUUCAUACAUUAUUUUCAAACAUCUUUCUUUAAGCAUGAAUCCCAUUAAUACUCAUAGUUCUUCAAAUUUCAUUCCUUAUGCUGCAUGUUUCAUCUAUUUCACCUCAUUAUUUUUCUUAAUUUCAUAUCACAUUUUUUAAGAAUCCCAUUUAAAUAUUGCUCAAUGAUAUAUUUUGAUUUUAUUAUCCGUCAUAUUUUUAUUUUCGUUUUUGAACUUCUCUCAUUAUCUGUCAUGUUCCAUCUCCUUAUUAUUUUGCAUGCUUUAUCUAUCAUUCUUUCAUGCAAUCAACUCUCAUGUGGUCAGCGGCAUACAUUUUAUUUACCUUUUUUUUAUCUAUCAUUCAUCGUACAUCAUCUUUUAACUGUCAUAUAUCGACUCUCAUUAUUGAUCUGUCAUGAAUCUCCAUUGACAAAUGUUAUAAUUGAAUAUCACAUACUCUCAUUUGACAUCUUGCAAACACUCCAUCAUCACUCAAGACCCAUCAGCCAACUGUUUGAUGAAACCAGAGCUUCUGAGACAAGACACCGAUACACUUCAAGCAUUUUGGCACUCUUUACACACAAGAAGGAUUCAAGGGAGAAAGCGGAAUAAAUAUUGUUUCACUAAUGUACAUUUGUUUAUUUAUAUUUUCUGGUAAUUAUUUUAAAUGGAAAAGAAUCAAACAAACAAAAGCUAAUUUCGAACCAGUUUUGAUGAUAUUAAACAAGAAAUCUUUUCAUAAAAUAAAGGACAGAAAACCAA
rnacentral:misc_RNA from 1 species